GUGGUACGACUUUGAUAUAGUACGAGGUUGUUAUGCCUAGUUGUUCCAUAUUGGUCCCCUCUUUGAGGUGAGUGCGUUCCUACUAGAAACAGGUGGUUUGAAAGAUGAAGUGCCUAGGUGACUAGUCACCCAAUAGUGAUCAGCUGAUUGAUGCAAGAUGGGGGACAAUUUGGGUGAUGCCACAGUAUUCAUGCCAAGUAGGG
rnacentral:lncRNA from 1 species